AGUGAACGCUGGCGGCAGGCCUAACACAUGCAAGUCGAGCGGCAGCGGGUCCCCGCGAGGGGAUGCCGGCGAGCGGCGGACGGGUGAGGAACACAUCGGAAUCUGCCUGGUUGUGGGGGAUAACGUAGGGAAACUUACGCUAAUACCGCAUGCGACCCUGAGUCGACGGACUGGGGGUGAAAGUGAGGGACCUUCGGGCCGUCACGCGACCAGAUGAGCCGAUGUCGGAUUAGCUAGUUGGCGGGGUAACGGCCCGCCAAGGCGACGAUCCGUAGCUGGUCUGAGAGGAUGAUCAGCCACACUGGGACUGAGACACGGCCCAGACUCCUACGGGAGGCAGCAGUGGGAAUCUUGGACAAUGGGCGCAAGCCUGAUCCAG
rnacentral:rRNA from 1 species